CUGGGGCAUAUUUUUCCCAUUGGAAAAGUGUGGUUAUUGGAAGUUUCCUCUUUUUAGAAAGAACAGGAUUGGAGGUGCUCUCUGGGGUGUCCUCCUACCAAGCAGCCUGUUGAAGGCCUCGUAGUACUCAGGGAGCACGAGCGACACUCGCCGUCGCUUCGCCUUCAUCUUGAGGCCACACAGCGUCUCCGCCACCCAGGUCUCCUCAGGCUCAGGGGCGAGCUCCUUCUCUGGCUCAUCAUCAGAUUCAUCCAAACACUCCCUCUUCCUUUUGCAGCCAAGGGACCUACGUGGGGGGCUGGGAUCUACCCCAGGGGCUGAGUAAAGAAACCAGGCCACCGUGUAAUGCUUCUGCAACU
rnacentral:lncRNA from 1 species